rnacentral:lncRNA from 1 species
UGUAUGUAGCUAUGUCAAAUUCUCUUUCAUAUACAUACAUGUCUAAACCCCAUGUGUGUAUAUGAUACCUACAUUCUUGUUUAAUUGCACAGGCUGUGGUCAGUUCACAUCUGCUUAACUUUUCAGCCAUCACCUGUCUGUGUUUCUUUUACAUGAGUAAGCUGCUAUGUAAAUAUUCUGCAUAUGCUAUGCUUCUGUCCUCUUCAUUCCAUGUUAAUAUAAUAUACCAGAUCCUCUUUUCUAACUUACACUAGAUGUUCUUCUUAGAAGGAAAGAUAUCUUGGACAUGGGUUAGCCUUACAUUUAUUGACUGACAAAGUGACUGUCUGAAAAAAUUCCUUUACAGGUACUAAGAUUAUAUUCUGCAGUGAACACUACAGAGAGAGAUACAUUAUUUGUUUCAUAAUACUGACUUGGCUUGGUACAUAACCUCCCCUCACUUCAUCUAAUCUAUAUUAUGUGUUCGUAUUUCAUGUAUAGGUAUAUGUCUUGUGUAAAUAUGUUAGCCAUAAUCUGAUUUCUAAUGUAGGUACAUAGAGUAAGUUAAAAUUAUGCUUAAUUUAUUUUAUUAGUAGAUUAAUUUGGGGAAAUGUAUGCCCUAUAUCAUGUGGCAACUAUUUUCCUUAAUGCUAUUAGAGAUCUUAACAAUAAAGAUUACAGUGGUCACCUUCUUAUGAGUUCUUUUCUUUCCUUUUUUAUUUUCAGUGCUUAGGAAGGAACCCAGGUCCCCAUCAUGCUAGACAAAUGCUCUGCCACUGAGCUACACUUCCCCAGAGUUGUUUUUUAAUAGGUCAGUGUUUCACUAAUUUUUCUUUACAUGCCAGAAUACAAUAUCACAGCAGAAUAAAAGACAAUGAAACAUAAUUUUAAAAGCUGUGGAGUUGGGCUUUUUAUUCUCUCUCUUCUUCCCCUGUCCCCCAAAGGGAAUAAACCAGAUAUUUUUUAUCUUUGAAGUAUUUUUUUAAUAAGUGGAAGCACUCUGUGUGAUUUUUCUCAGCAGUUAAGAACUAUUUGGAGUUACGUGAGAACAUUGUGGCACGUAGUUUUUAUGGGUGUUAGGGAACUGAUAGCACUGUACCUUUCAUUAUAGGAGAAAGAAGAUCCCCUAGAGUUCUCUGCCAGUAAAGACUCCAAAGAAUUACCUCAUCAUGGCCCACAGUGGUGGGGCUACGGGGCCAGGUUCAGGCAAAAAUUUAAGACAGGGGAAGUGAAUAAAUGUCAAAAUAAAGGAAGUAAAACUACAUACCCAAGCUAAAGAAAACAUGCACCCCAGCUAUGGAAUUCUGAGACAUAACUCCAUUUUGGCCUCUGCUCACAACUGAGACCUCAACGAUCCAGUGAUGUUGUGACUCUCCAGGACAAGAAACAUCCUGGGAGCUGAAAACAUCCUGCGAAGAACAAACAUCUACUCAGUUCCUCCUUGUUCUUGGAUUGUUACAUCUUAUUUACACAGGCUGUACUGAACUCUCUGCAAGUCAUUUGUUACAUUUGUUUCUCCCAAUGUACUGAAUAAAAGGUGUGGUAAGCUGGGGUCUUUCGUUUUUGCUGCCCAGAGCAGCAGUGAUCAGACCCAAAGCUCAGCCUCUCAGUCUCAUUUUUCUACAUUUCCUGUAAUUUGCCGUGUGCUGCCGUGGCUCACAGGAGACUAGGACUUACUGCAGAGGUUCUAGUAACGUCCCCUUUCCCUGUUCCCUACAGUAGCUGAAAAGGAGUGGGCUCCAGGAAGGUUUACAAGAGGGCUUAGUUUGCAGAGUCCUUUGAGUGUCCAUCAAGGAGUAUUGGGGGGGGUCACCCUGUGGCAUAUGUGUGAUCACUAGACCAUUGACAGUCACAUGUAGUGCAAUAAAUUGCAUGGUGUGUCAUCAAGGCACUGCUGUGAUAGUAUAGUAUUCAUGAGCACAGCUUUUUAGGGUGACCAGCAAUAAAGUCAAACCAUCUCUACUGAUCAGGACAUAUUCAUUAAGUAAUUUCUCAUUUUAAACCCUAAGUACUCACUUUUAACCCAUUAGAAGAAAAAUAAAAGCAAUGAGGAAAGUUUCAGAAUGCUAAAAAGAAGAUGGAAAAGGUAGAAAAGUGAAAAAAAUAUAAACAAAACAAAAUGUAAGGGAAAGCAAUGUUCAACAAAAUACAUACACAUUCAGAUUAGACUCAAAUUCAGCCAUAGUACUUUUUGUUUCUAUCUAGCAGAAAACAAAUACUUUAUUUUUUUGCUUUCAUUUUAUAACCCUUAAAGUUCCUUAAUUCAACUAGGGCACACAUACACAAAGCCACCAGAACAAGGAUCACUUAAAGAGCUGGAUGUAGAAAAUACUAUUGCAGUAUGCUACAAAUAUGGAACCCUGUUAUAUGAGCUACAAAAAGCAGCAUUUGCCUUUAUAGAGUUGAGUGCAAUUUGUACAUUAAAAAAUUCUAUAAAUGAAGGGAACACCAACACAACAGAAGAUAUGCCCAUCACAGGCACCCGCCCUGGGAAGCGCGGGCAGUGGUCACCGACCGGGCAGGAGGACUGUUUCCCGGGGCCACGCGGAGGCCUCUUCUGGGCGAGGGACUGAGUCCCACCUGGUUCCAGGUCAGAUUUCCUUCCCACCUCACCUGGGCAACGUGUCACUGAGGACAGGGAAGACACUGCCCACAGGCUGCGGAGUGGGAGCAGCAGGGCAUCGGGAACGCAGGAGUGCAUGGCGUGGGACCUUUCGGGGCCCAGAGACAAGGAGAGUGUCUUGAGGCCGGAAGAGGAGAGGAGCGCAGGAUAGAAAAUAGAGGCAAGAGGGGCCCAUGUGGAGGUGACGACCUGGAGGUGCGGGCAGCACUGACAGGAGCUCCCUAGCCCAGGGACACAGGAGAGGAGGACAGCAGAAGGAGGAAGGGAUCCCCGAUAGUAAACCCAAAGCCAGCCUCACUCCCAGCCCAUCCCUGCGAGCCAAAGCUCGACUCUUUGGCUCCCAGACAGUGGACCCUGCACGCCCAGUGUGCGCAGGCUGGCACUCUUGGCUGCACACCCCGAGGGAGGAACCGCGGGGCGCCUGCCCUAGCCGGGGAGACUCCCACGCCCUGACUUCUGUGGCUUGGCUGGGGGGGGGGGGGGGGGGAGGUGCUGCGGGUGGAGGUGCAGGGCAGUGGUAGCUGCCGCUGCAGGCCCAGGAGCGAGCAGGGUCGGGUAGAGGGCAGCGUGCAGGACAGCAUGGAAGGUGAAGGGCCUGGGGUGGAUGGCAGAGGCGGGGAUGAUGUGGAUGGGGUGACUGGCGAGGAAGGUGGCCGGGUGGCCGGGGAUGAUGGAGUGAGGUGCGACAGGGAGAUGGGCGUCAGGUGGGGCUGGGGGAUGUGGUGCACGUGGGCCGGGGGCUGUGGGUGGGCGUGGGGGUGGAUGCCAAUGGUGGCAGUGGCGGCCAGGUGGUGCUGCAGGAUGGCGUGCUGCACCCAGGUAAUGCAGGUGGCCGAAGUCGCGGCGAGAUGGCGCAGGUGGAUGGGCUGCAGGGCAGAGGUGGCGGGGGGCAAGGGCAGCCGAGGCAGAGAAGGCCUUCACUUGCUUGGCCAGCAGCUGUUGUUGGAUGUGCUGCGUUGCGGCCUGCUGGAGCUUGCUGGACUUCUUCAUCUCCUCGAGCUUGAAGGUGAUGGGCUGGCAAUCCAGGGGAGCCAGCAAGGCGUCCUCUGCCCCCUUGGGGACUCCAUGCGGGGCUUGGACAAUCUCCCAGGGGGAGGGCCGAGGCUCGAGGCCUGAGGCCCGCAGGCUCCCUUACCCGUGCAGCUGGAACACUGGACUGUAUGCUUUCCUCCUGGUCAGCUCUGUGAGUAGUGUGAGGCCCUUGACUGCACAGGCACCUGCCCCAGAAAGUGGGUGUCGCCAUUGGCUGAGAGGGCGGGGCCUGCAGGCAGUGGGCCUGUCAGUUGGAGUCCGGCCUUGAUCAGCGCAAGGUCCAGUUACCAGAACUGGAUGGGGAGGGUUAGUCACUGUG